GAGGGUUUAGCUUGGUGGUAGAGUAUGUGCUUAGCAUGCACAAGGUGCUGAGUUCAAUCCCCAGUACCUCUA
rfam:Camelus ferus unplaced genomic scaffold scaffold642, whole genome shotgun sequence.